rnacentral:lncRNA from 1 species
ACUUGCAGUUAUCCGAUCUAUUUGAAAAGUCUUUGAUUAGCUUCUAAAAUUUGAUUCGUUGAGAAGUGAUUGAUUUUAGAAAUAUUUUUGAAAGUUUGCAAAGAUUAGUUUUUAGCAAACUCAUUAAGGGAUUUGACUAGGUUCACAAGAAGGCAUGCAAAACAUAUAAUAAUAAAAAGAAAGGGGAAGGGGGAAGAAAUAGUGAUUUGGGCUUUGAAGCCCAAACCGUUAAACCUUUCCUAAUCUAGUUGGGGUUUUCAACCCGUUUCUCCUUUCACCUGCAUUAAGUACAACUUUGGCUUCGAGGCUCGAAUAAAUAAUUGAAAGAAUAAAUAAAGACAACAAAUAAAUAAAUAUAAAGGAGACACGAGUCCCGUCGCCACUUCAAGAAUGGGACUUUAACCUACUCUUUCUUCUUUCACUGGUGACAGUUUCUUUUCUUUAGAAAUAUAUCAAAAUUUCAACACUUGAAGGGGUUGACUUGAAAAGGCCAUGGACCUUCUUAACCCUCACAGAGAUGCAACUGGAAAGAGUCCAAUUGGACUCACGACAAUUGGGGAUUUGACUAGGUUCACAAGAAGGCAUGCAAAACAUAUAAUAAUAAAAAGAAAGGGGAAGGGGGAAGAAAUAGUGAUUUGGGCUUUGAAGCCCAAACCGUUAAACCUUUCCUAAUCUAGUUGGGGUUUUCAACCCGUUUCUCCUUUCACCUGCAUUAAGUACAACUUUGGCUUCGAGGCUCGAAUAAAUAAUUGAAAGAAUAAAUAAAGACAACAAAUAAAUAAAUAUAAAGGAGACACGAGUCCCAUCGCCGCUUGAAGAAUGGAACUUUAACCCACUCUUUCUUCUUUCACUGGUGACAGUUUCUUUUCUUCAAAAAUAUAUCAAAAUUUCAACACUUGAAGGGGUUGACUUGAAAAGGCCAUGGACCUUCUUAACCCUCGCAGAGAUGCAACUGGAAAGAGUCCAAUUGGACUCACGACAAUUUUAUAUGCAAAGAAAGAAAGGACUGAAAAGAUAAGAAUCUAACAAACAUCAUUAAAUUCAAAAGACUAAGUAAAGUGCGUAUUUAAAAAAAUUAAAAAAAUAAUUCUGCAUGACCAUUAUGGUCCUAAAGAUAUAUGCAAAGGACAGAUUUUAGCACAAAGCGAUGAACGAAUCGAUCUGUCCCCAAAGGAAACAAAUAAUGACGAAUUAUCUCAAAAUUUACUCUUUGGGAAUCAACACAGUAAAUCAGUGAAUAGCCACAGAGGGAACAUAAAAGGCAAAAGAAGGUAAUCACGAGUCCUAAAUCAACACAAAUCACUUAUUUUGAUAUGAAUUGUAAAAUAUCUGAAAACACUUAAAAAUACUAUGAAAACACUUAUUCCGUAGCCCUAAAAAAAACUUCAUGCAUUGAACUAAUUCCUCCAUCUUUGAAGAAAAUUGACGAGCUAACCAUUAACAUAUAAUCACAAGGGAAGUGAACAAAAACCUCAAACAAAAUAAAGAUAUAAGACUCGGAGCUUCUCUCAAGAAUAGACCCGAAAAUCUACUAGCUAAUCCAAAUAACACGUUUGUCGAAAGAAAAGAGGGGUGAUAGGUAGAAUCGAAUGUCUAUUAAUCAACAUCUAUAGACUACUACUACUGCUAUAAGACAGUGAUCCAAUGUAAAGAGAAGAAAAAGAAACAUAAUUGACUUCAAAGUGAAGGUUAUGAGAACUAAUAUCACAAACAACAACGCCUAUACUCUUUUUAGUAGCAUAAUUGUUGAUUCCCGAAUUUACAGAAUGCAACAAACAAAAACAAUUAUAUGUAAAUGUAAGGCCCAGUUGACACUAUCAUUGAAAUGGCCUGGUGUGAUGCCCUUUCCCUCUCGAUUUCGAGCAUGAAUCAGCCUCUGGAUGGCUUUGAAUUAGCAAACCAACCAACAAUAUCCGAAUAUGGAAAGACAAUGCAUCAGUGACUAACCACAACUAACCUUGCAGUAGUUUUGAAAGAAAACUAAACUUAAAUUUGCAGCCUAAAACAUCAAUCCUACGAUAAUUCCGAAGAACAUUAUACAUUGAAUCCUCACUGAAACAAAAUCACCAUAGAAACGGUAGACGAGAUCUAUCUAAUGAAAAAUGCUGACACGAAACGAUGACCUAACCACACUGACAGUGAGGCAGUGGGUUUCGAACGGCAAAACAAUCGAUGAAAACAAGAUGAGAAAAACAUGAAAUCGACAACAGGGCGACAGUUGCGAAUGUCUAAUCAUUAAAACAACACAACAACCAUUGUACACCAAAUCCUAUGGUUAUCACAACCAAUUUGUAGGAAACGAUUCUCAGGCUCCAAUAGCACCACAGAUAACAGAAUCAUAAAGAAAGAACGACUAAAAUAAGACCCCAACAAAACUUUAGGUGAAGAGAGCCGUUUACCUCUUAUGUGGCAGCAAAUGAGACUCGAGCUAUCAGCAAAAUUUCACCACUUGGAGUUGAUGUCGUCGACUCAGGUACUUCCCAAUUGAGUGACUAUCUUCCCAGAAAGAAUGGAUGAGAAAAUUUUCGCAAAAAUACACUCUUUGAUUUUAGAGUUCCCAACCCCAAAUUUUGAACUAGACUAAAAUUUUCUCCUUCAGCUAUUUCAAAACCUCAUCUCUAACCUUUCACCUUAGAGCUUCUAACCUCGAAUCUCCAAAAAAAAAAAAAAAAAGAACACCCAAAAUUACCAACUUUUGUCGCCUGCCAAGGAAUCAAACCCCUAAAAUUUUUAGCCAAACUGUUAAAUCCUUCAAAGAAGAGAAAAAUAAUCUGAACACUCCAAAAUUGCGAACACCACCUGAUUUUCUCUACCCCAGAAUUUUCGAACCCCACCCGAAAAAAAGAAAAAGAAACCCUAAAAUUUUCGUCCUAAUUCUCGAAACCUGAUUUUUUACCCCCCAAAAAAAUUCCCCUUUCAAUGAACGAAGGGCCUCCUUAUAUAGGAGAUGACAAGGGGUAUUUUAGGGACUCAAAAGAAGGGAACCCUAGGAUUUGAAAUCCAAAAUUUUUUCUCUCACAGCCAAUCGAAAAUUGACGCACUUGUACCUUCGUGGUACGAAUUUAACGGAUUCAAAACAGAUUUAGGAAUAUCCUUUGAUACCCAUGAAUCAGCUACUAUCUGGAGAUUUCUAGAAGCUGCUCAACAGUUCUCGUAUGAACUCGUAUAAGCGUCACGUGAUGAAGAGGGAGAAAGAAAAUUCGGGUUAAGGGCUGAUGUUGGUGAGGUCGUUCUUGCUGAGGUUGAUAUUGUUGUGGGUUGAAAGCGUACAUGUGAGGUUCAGUUUGUUGUUCUUGUUUUUUGAAGUUGAGGGAGAAGAGUUUAUUGAGAGUGUGGGCCGGGUUAGGUUUGAAAUGGGUCAUUGGUGGUGGGCUGUUG